UGCGUAGGGGGCAAGCGUUAUCCGGAUUUACUGGGUGUAAGGGGAGCGUAGGCGGUGAUGCAAGUCAGAAGUGAAAGCCCGCAGCUCAACUGCGGGACUGCUUUUGAAACUGUAUGACUAGAUUGCAGGAGAGGUAAGUGGAAUUCCUAGUGUAGCGGUGAAAUGCGUAGAUAUUAGGAGGAACACCAGUGGCGAAGGCGGCUUACUGGACUGUAAAUGACGCUGAGGCUCGAAAGCGUGGGGAGCAAACAGG
rnacentral:rRNA from 1 species